AUGAAAUGGUUUACAAUACACAAGUAGUCCUAAAGCCUGGGCUUGCACAAUAACAACUGUAAGGGCAAUAUAUGCAGCUAGCAUGUCUUGUGACCAGCAGACAUUUUCAGGGCUGUCAGAACGUACAGCCUCCCUUAGGAUUGAGUCAUAAUGGGAGCAUUCAGGGAUCCAUUGGUGGCAGUAAUUAAUCAUGCCGAGGAAUGUGAGCAACUCCUUCCGAGUAGUGGGUUUAGGAAUCCUCUGAAUGACCUCAAUACGUUUUGGACUCAAUUGUCUGGUGCCUAAAGCCAGAACAAAACCUAAGUAUUCAACCUUUGAUUUACACAAUUGCAUUUUGUGUUUAACAACCUUGUGACCCACAGUUGCUGACAGUAUCCACAGUGCUUGCCUCACAUCUAGGGCUACAUAACAACAAAUCAUCAACAUUUUGCAAAAAGGACGGAACCAUGACCGAUGGUCCAUGUUUUUUUUUUAGAGUAUGUUGGAGUACCAACGAAUAAACAGCUGGGGAAUCCACAUAGCCUUGGGUAAGCGUGUCCAGGUAAACUGACAGCCUUCAAAAAGUAAAAACCAUAAGUAGCUGUGUCUCUUGAUCAAUAGGUAUAGAAAAAAAUGCAUUACUUAAAUCAAUGACAGUGAAGCAAGUGGCAUCAUGUGGAAUGGCUGUAAUGAGGGAUGUCACAUCAGGGACAAUGGGUGCAAUGGGCACAAUUAAACUAUUCAGGGCUCUAAAGUCCUGAACUAAGCAAUAUGCUGGCCAGUGGUGUUGGGAGUGGGUCUGGUGUUGUUCUUGCCUACCGGGCAUAUUUUGAGAAUUGUGGGGUUUUGGGGUGUGUGGGGUUUCCUGGGGUGUGGACACUCAUUCCUCCACAGUUGAAACAAGUGUUCCUGUCUAUUCCUCCUUGGUUACCCC